ACACCCGCUCGCGUCGCCCUCGCCGCCGGGUAUCCCGCCCGCGCCAGGCACCCCUCCCCCGGCGCGCCGUGAUGCCCGCCGUCGGGUAUCCCGCCCUCGUCAGCGCACCCCUCGCCCUCACCCCCGUCUUCGAAGAGCCCUGCUUCCAUCCUCAGCGCCGCCAGCUCGCCGGCAUCCUCCUAAUCCUUGCUCGAUGCUAGAUUCGCCAGACUACCGAGGCGCUGCUCCUCGGAUCUCCGGAGAGGUGGCAGUUGUUUGCCGGUUAUCGGCGCCGCAUGUCUCAGAUCUGAGAUGGACAGAAUCUGGGACGGCAGGAGGGGCGGGGUGUCGGUCUGAGGCGUUCCGCCGCCUCCGAGGAGGCGCCUCAGGAGCAACGGCGGAGGGGGCCCCAGGGACUCGCCUCGCUCCGAGCGCCGACGGGGCGAGCGCCUCAUGCUCAACGGCGGGGGUGGCUGCGCCAGUCGGGACGACGACGACGAUAUCUUCGACGAGAGCCUCAGCGACGAAGACGACGCCGCCGAGCAGGAGCUCGCGCCACGGUACCACCACCAGCGGCGGUCACCGAACACGACGCCACAUUCGCCGUCGCCACCUCCACCCAGCGGUGGCCACCACAGCAGUAGUAGCAGCGGUGGCGGGGGUUAUCACAACCACCAUCACGGCCAGCACCACCAGAUGCAGUAGAAGUGCGGCGACUCCAAUCCCAUCGUGUCCAAGGCCGUAGACGAGAUGAUUGGUGUCCCUGUCCCGAGGAAACCCCGCUCCGCUUCAACGAAACGUUCUUCGCAUGAGUGGCCUGUCCCCGGCGGCGGAACCAGUGGAGGCAGCACCGGCGCAGGAGACGGCUCGCAGAUUGCAGAUUCAACGGGCCUUUGUCACGGCCAAUCUCUCCAGCGUCAGCCUCCACUACCGUCCCGGCUCGGAAGAAGCUUGUGAGUUUCCAAGCCCUCCGUUUCUCGCCAAAGAGGGCACGAGAACUACCUGGUGAGUCCGAACAGCACCUCGGCAACCUCGAUUUCCUCAACUGCCUGGUGAGUCCGAACAGCACCUCGGCAACCUCUUGAAUGAAAGAGGGCGACUUCGAAAUCUUCGGGACUGUGGUGGCGGCUGUGGUUGUGGCGGGUUUGUUGAUGGAGCUGGGGACAGUGAUAGUCGCUGCUUUGACGCUCGCUCCUCGCCAGUUUGCUCGUCUUCUCCACGUUGCAGCCAGCAAAGUACUUUCCUGUCACUCCCUUGAGUUGAGGGCUCAGUCCUACGUAGCAAGUAGUCGCAGCUCCCUGAAGAAAUGCAUACACGAAAUUUCAGAACACGAGUUUCGAGAUAAUAACGUCGCUAUGAACAAGAAUUGGCUACAAAAAUGAAAUACAAAGAUCUGGCUCCAGACCUGGGGUACAUUCUUCCACAGUAUGUAAGUGGCAACCUAAAGCACCUCUGCAAGAGGAAACAAGGUGCUUCAGAACAUUGUCAGAAGAUAAGUGUUCCUAGCUAGAGCCUGAGAACAUAUAUUCUAUGUGAGAAAAAAAGGAAAAAUAAAAAGAGAGCAUACUCAUGAGAACAAGGAGUGCCUCAUCAAAUUGGUCAUGAUCAAUCCAGGAUGGACACUGUUAACUGUGAUGUUUGCUCCUUCUUCCUGUUUACGAACAUUAACAAUGUGUAAGAGCAGAAUCCUGAAGGAUGGCACAUAAUUUGAGAACCAGGAGUAGGUUUCAGAGUUUUAACCAGUGUAGGCAUGCAUCAGAACCAUGGAUUUUCAUACAUAGGUAAAAGGGAACGAGAUCAUAUCAUCUCUGCAAGUCACACUGAUAUGUAUCAAGAUCCCAAAGGUUCCGAAGUUAUCUAAAUCCCAAAGUUCGCAAUGGCCAUUGCUUACUGGGUGCCCCUUAUAUAGUUAGUGCGUCAUGACAGUGAAGCAGGACAGAGCAUUAGGGCCAUGAUGGACAAAUUGUUUCUCUUCAGGUUUCUACCCUUCCCGAAAGAGUAACAGACAUGGAUAAUACUAUUAGGAUACCCUGAAAAAAAUACCUUCAGCCUUCUAGAGAGCUCCUUCGCAUGCAGCAAGUUCGCCAGCUUAGACUGUCCAUAAGCCAUUUUGUCGUUGUAUCUGCAAGUUAAUAAAAGAUCAUUACUUGCAGUUCAAUCAACAGACAAUUCCUACAAAGCAGAACCAUAAACGCACAUACAUUUUCUCAUCAUUGAGGUUAUCGAAGUCAAUUCCCUUCGGAUACGUAUGGUGGUGGGCGACUGAUGACAAAUUCACAAUGCGGCCCUCAAUACCCGUAGACUUGGCAGUGGCCUUCAUGGUAUCAAGGAGGAGAUUGGUAAGCAGAAAGUGUCCUGAUAAAAAAACAAUUUCAAGCAAGUCAUGCUGUCAGUGAGAGAAUACCUAGAUGAUUUGUCGCAAACUGCAUCUCGACCCCGUCUUUAGACAGCUGAAAAGGGCAAAACAUGACGCCUGCAUUAUUUCUGUGGAACAGAAAAGGAUUCCCUCAAGCCUUGAUCCAGUGCAAAGAGGAAAGCGCUAAAAUAGGCGGAAACUUUCAUAUAUAUGAAAGAAAAAACAAGCAAAGGAAACUUUCAUAUAUAUGAAUGAAAAAAAACAAGCGCUAAAAGUAAUAAUACGUAUAUGCUGGAGAUAGAUUCAACGAAAUCAAAGGAAACUUUCAUAUAUAUGAAAAUAAAAAACAAGCAUGAACAAGAGGUGAAUAGGGUUACAUCAGGAUGUUCAGAGGGAGUUUGAUCGAGUUGAACUGGUCCACAAAAGCCCUGACAGACUUGAGGGAGCUGAGGUCUAGCUUCAGAACAUCAAUACGUGCCGUUGGGUUCUUCUCCAUGAUGGUCUUUCUUGCUUCUGAUGCAGCUUCUGUGUUUCUAGCAGCGAUGACCACAUGGGCUCCUCUCAGCGGAAGACUCUUGAUGUCUCCAGACCAAUGCCACUAGCUCCUCCUGGCAUAUGCAAAAAAUUACAAGUUUCAGUAAAAUUUGGAAAAUAAUAGAUUUUUGACACCUUGGAAUUGAGUUAAGCGAGCAACUGGACCCUCAAAAUACUAUAGUGAGAUGAAAAAGACUGAAGAUGAUAGCUAUCUAACUGGAAGGAUCCAGCAUCAUUGACCUCAAUAGAUUAUGGAUAAUCAUAAUCUCUGCGCGGCUGCUUGCUGAUAGGUUCUACUAAGCAUGGUUAAUUGACUUGUAUUUUCACCUAAAUAUAGAUGACAUGGAAGAAAAAUGUUUUUAUGUUCACCUUAGUAGAUAAGUAUCUUUUUUCUUGCUCCAAUAAUUAUCAUUAA